GGCAAUCCCCUAAUGUUCCCUUCCACCUUGUGGAAGUUUUGUUCUUUCGCUCUUUGCAAUAAAUCCCAUUGUUGCUCGCUCUUUGGGGUCUCACUGUCUGUGCGAGCUGUAAUACUCGCCGCAAAGGUGUCUGGCUUCACUUCCGAGACCAGCGAGACCCCGAACCCACCGGGAGGAAUGAACAACUCCGGAUGGGAGGGACAAACAACACCAGACGCACCGCCUUAAGAGUCCUAACGCUCACCGCGGAGGUCUGCGGCUUCACUCUUGAAUGAAGCCAGCGAGAUCACAAACCCACCAGAAGGAAGGAACUCUGAACACAUCCGAAAAUCAGAAGGAACAAACUCCGGACACACUACCUUUAAGAACUGUAACACUCAAAUCGCGAGGGUCCACGGCUUCGUUCUUGAAGUCAGUGAGACCAAGAACCCACAAAUUCCGGACACUUCCCCACACAGAGGGAACUGGCCUAACACUCUGGUGGUGCCAAUAGGAUGUACUGACAGAUCAGAAGUGGUCGUGAGAGAAGGAGCAAGUAGCCAGAAGAGUGAAGUGUGCACUGGCUGAGAUGUGGGAGCAGGUGUUGUUGGUUUCCCCGGAGAUGCAGCAAGAAGGCCCUCGCCAGAUAUCAAGGCCUUAAGCUUGGACUUCCCAGCCUCCAGAACUGUCUUAUGUAUCAACAAAAUCACACCAGACCACCCAAAGCUGGCCCUGCCAACUGACCACACACACCCCUGCCUGAAAGGCAUGUUUCAAUGUGCAACAGACGCCUGCCACUCAGGGGACAUCAAAUGUUCAUGAGAACUCGCUAACCUCGAAACAGAUUCAGGGAGGUGGUUAGCAUGCCAACGUGCAAAUCCCCAGGCAACUGUGAACAGCCAUUUGGAGAAUCCACCACAUGGAAAAUCCUCCAGCUUUCCCAGGGGACAGUCACAUCCUCACCCCAGGAGGGCUGAGAAAGAACACCGGUGCAAAGGAGGGCACAGGUCAGCAAGAGGGAUUCGCUUCUGUCCCCAGCUAUGAGUCAUCAUCCUCAUCCUUUUAGUCAUCCCCUGAAAGCUGCAUGCUGUAAUUUGGUGACCGCCUUGUGUCCUUGAAGAGCAUUUUCGAGCCAAAACUUUUCUUCUUCUUCCUGGGGCAGACACUGAGAGUCUCUGGGCAAUCGAACUGUGACAUCUUCAUCACAUUGGUCCCAAGGAUUGAUUCAGCAAUGUGCCCAAUUAGGUGGGUGUCCCCUUCCAUCAUGGCUCUCCUAUGUGGGUCCCUUCUGAAAUAAUGCAUCCUUCAGGGUGCUUUCAGCUACGAGCAACAUAAAACUCAAUUAAAAGUGUGCUAGACAGAAA
ensembl:lncRNA KAZN-AS1 KAZN antisense RNA 1